UUCCACAAUUCGCAGUGCGUUGAAACUUCCGGCUCUUGUUAGGCGCUGGCGUCAACUAUAACAACAACACCAGCUACUGCCGCAGGGCUGCUUAAGACAAAACAAAGAACAUGUGUAUGUGUGUGUGUGUUUUGGAUUGUAACCAAAGGUUAGGGAGAGUGCGAAAUCACAUGCCGAUGCUUAAUGCAGAGGAAUCUUUUAAAUUUUAAUGAAUUUAAAGAACACACUUCCAACUGACCACCAGCCAAACCAGGGUAAUAGUAACAAGUAUAUGAGCCUGGAGAUGCAGACGACUGUCGCCGCCACAAAGACAAAAGAAAUAGCAAGGAUCACAGCCUACAAACUGAAUAAUUCAUGAAUGUCGCCAACGCCAGCCGAGUCGAAAAUGACAACGAAGGCGUUCUAUGCUAGUGUUAUAAUUAAUGAUGUUAUAUGUUAUAUGGUAUGAGCUGGCGCCGAGCAGUUAGCAGUUACAAAUCAGACACAACGGCAAGGAUGACAGAAUUUCAAAAGUCCCAGUCCAAGAUGUGUGUGUUUGUGCACA